CCUACGGGAGACAGCAGUGGGGAAUAUUGCACAAUGGGGGAAACCCUGAUGCAGCGACGCCGCGUGAGUGAAGAAGUAAUUCGUUAUGUAAAGCUCUAUCAGCAGGGAAGAAAAUGACGGUACCUGAGUAAGAAGCCCCGGCUAACUACGUGCCAGCAGCCGCGGUACUACGUAGGGGGCAAGCGUUAUCCGGAUUUACUGGGUGUAAAGGGAGCGUAGACGGCAGUGCAAGUCUGGAGUGAAAGGCGGGGGCUCAACCCCCGGACUGCUCUGGAAACUGUACGGCUGGAGUGCAGGAGAGGUAAGUGGAAUUCCUAGUGUAGCGGUGAAAUGCGUAGAUAUUAGGAGGAACACCAGUGGCGAAGGCGGCUUACUGGACUGUAACUGACGUUGAGGCUCGAAAGCGUGGGGAGCAAACAGGAUUAGAUACCCGAGUAGUC
rnacentral:rRNA from 1 species